rnacentral:rRNA from 1 species
UACAGAGGUCUCAAGCGUUGUUCGGAUUCAUUGGGCGUAAAGGGUGUGUAGGCGGCCAUGUAGGUCCGUUGUGAAAACUCGAGGCUCAACCUCGAGACGCCGAUGGAAACCAUGUGGCUAGAGUCCGGAAGAGGAGAGUGGAAUUCCUGGUGUAGCGGUGAAAUGCGCAGAUAUCAGGAGGAACACCAAUGGCGAAGGCAGCACUCUGGGACGUGACUGACGCUGAGACGCGAAAGCGUGGGGAGCAAACAGG